rnacentral:sRNA from 1 species
AUGGUACUACUGAUGGGAACAGUGGAUUGGAUUUUGAAAAUGAACCCACAAAUGAGUAACAAUUGAUGAAACCUGAGUAGUCCAAGGAAUAAUUGUGCAGAUAAUUGACUGUGAUAUUUAAUAAAUAAAGUGCUUGAUCAACCAACUUUAAAAUAACUUUACUUUCUCAAUUUGGUUAUUUUAAAAAUGCCAAGUGAUUCUGUAGACCUUUGGGAGCUGCAAAGUGUCCAGUGCAAGAGAUCAGCUAUGGAUCCCACUACCGUAAUUUACACAGUAGGCCAGAAAGUUUGUUUAAACUUCAGCCACAGAUGUUUAAGUCGGCUAGAUAUUGACCUUAACAGAUAUUGCAGUCUUUUAAAUAAAAACAAUGCCCUAGUUU